CGGUUGCCGGCCGGCCGCCGCCUCCUCUCGUGCCGCCGCGCCCCUGCCUCCGGAUCCGGCCGGCCCUGGGCGAGGGCGCCCGGUCGCCGCCUCCUCUCGUGCGCGCCGCGCCCCUGCCUCCGGAUCCGGCCGGCCCCGUGCGAGGGCGCCCGGCCGCCGCCUCCUCUCGUGCGCCCCGCCGGCGCCUCCGCUGCCUGCUUCGGAUCCGGCCAGCCCCGUCCUCCUCCGUGCGGCGGCGCCUGACGUUGCUCUCUCCGGCUGCCUAGGUUGAAUCUUUUUUUAUUGCGGAUGGAUUUGGUUUAGCUUUUGGUUCCAUGCAAUUUUCAUUGACUGCGGAUGAAUCGUUUUUUGUUUUCUCGUAAAUAUCUUGGUUCCGAAACAGCUCGUGAAAUUUGUUGUAAAUUUGUACAGAAUUCCAUUCAUUUCAUUGAAGGUUUGUAGAUUUUUCUUUGAUAUCUUGUCGAUUUUCAAACAAAACUCAUUGAAAUCUCACCGAUGCACCGUUCAAAAUCCAGACGACUAAAAUCUCAUUGAAAUUUCACAAAUGCACAAUUGAAAAUCCAAACGUGCAAUUAAAAUCUCAUUGAAAUUUCACAGACGCAUCGUUGAAAUUCCAAACGUGCCAUUAUUUCAUUGAUACGCCAUUGAAAUUUCAUUGACG
rnacentral:lncRNA from 1 species